rnacentral:rRNA from 1 species
UGUAAGCCAGGUCGGUUUCUAUCUUUAAUAAAAUAAAAUAUUUUAGUACGAAAGGACCAAGUAUUUGAUAUAUUUAUAUUUAAUUAAUUGAAUAUUAUUAAAGUUA